UGAACAGUGCUUCCUGAAUGGUGGGUCCAAUUUGAAGACUGGAUUGUUAUGGCUAGAACUGUUGUCUUUAUCUAAUGAAAAAUAAACAAUUUAACACCAAAAAUCUAAAUUCAAAUGUCAGGCCAGGCAUUGUUUAACAAAAACCAACAGCAUGGUUUUAGAGACCAAUAGACCGGUAUCUGUUCCAGUACCGGUUUGACUCUGUCCUGGGAGUCAGACGAAAGGUCGUUGAAGGUGUAGUGAGCCUGAGUCCUCCUACACAACAACACGGCCGCCGCACCCGCAGGACGAAGCACACACAGACGAGCAUGUGAUAGAUGGGUGUGCCGGAAACCCAGUGACAACACUUGGGUCUGCAGCUGCCAUUUUCCGGUGGGAAAGAUAAUUGGUAGCUCAUCCACCAUGGCAAAAGCGGAAGAUCCCGACACAUCCACCAUGACAGAAGAAGAAGAUCCAGACACAUCCAUCAUGACAGAAGAGGAAGAUCCAGACACAUCCACCAUGACAGAAGAGGAAGAUCCAGACACAUCCACCAUGACAGAAGAAGAAGAUCCAGACACAUCCAUCAUGACAGAAGAGGAAGAUCCAGACACAUCCACCAUGACAGAAGAGGAAGAUCCAGACACAUCCACCAUGACAGAAGAAGAAGAUCCAGACACAUCCAUCAUGACAGAAGAGGAAGAUCCAGACAUAUCCAUCAUGACAGAAGAGGAAGAUCCAGACACAUCCACCAUGACAGAAGAGGAAGAUCCAGACACAUCCAUCAUGACAGAAGAGGAAGAUCCAGACACAUCCAUCAUGACAGAAGAGAAAGAUCCAGACACAUCCACCAUGACAGAAGAUGAAGUUCCAGGCCCCUCGGCAGGCUGAAGAAUGUAGGAGGCUGCUGUCUGCACAGUUGCAGAAUGUUCUCACUGAGGUGCAUCUUGAGGAAACAUUAAGUCAGUUGAAGGUUCUACAGGAGAAUCAGCUGAAUACCUGCAACAGGAAUUCAGCAUCGCAGCUGUCUGAUAAAGUACUUAGGAUGGAAACAGGACUUCCAGACAAAGACAUUUUCAACAUGGUUGUUGAUUACUUGGAACAUCACAAGGACUGCGUCGUCUACUUUGCAAAGUGGAGUGUCGAGAUGCUGUCAUUUUAGGUCAAGUGCUUAUGGAGCUUAGGAAGUUGCGCCACAGAUACACCAACUUGCACCUUACUCAACUAUUCCAUUGUAGUGCAAGCACUCUCAGCAAUGUUACCAUCACUUUCAUUCAUGUCAUCCACAAUCCUUUUUCCAUUAGCAUCAUGAAGACUGUUCCAAAUCAGGAGAAGAAUCAAACGUGCUUGCCUGCAUCGUUUCAUGGGUCCAGCAGAAACUGCUGGAUUGUCAUUGACGGUAUUGACAUAGAAGUUGCAACUCCAAGUCAGAUGGAUCUACAGAAACAAACCUACUCUGUGUACCGUUCAAUGCACUCCUUCAAGCUACUCCUGGGUGUUGCACCUAAUGUGAUGAUAACAUACUGCAGUGAUCUGUAUCCAGGAUCUGUGUCGGACGAAGCCAUUGUCCAGAAGUUAAGGUUUGAGAAGAUCUUCAUGUCUGGAGACGUGAUCCUGGCAGACAAAGGCUUCUUGAUCCAGAGCUCGAUGCCUGCAGGAGUCACUGUAAACAUUCCCCCAUUCCUGAACCACAGAGGGUUCACAGACAGUGAAAUACAUCUCACAAAAGACAUAGCGAGAAACAAGAUCCAUGUUGAGAGGGCAAAUGCUUGACAAAAAUAUUCAAAAAUCCUGAGAUCCAUCCCACCUUAUCUAUGUUGUUAUAGUAAUGUGCUGGUGUAGACUUGCUGUGCACUUGUAAACCUCCAAGACCGACUCAUCAGAGAAGUAGCUGUUGAUUGGGAAACAAGAACAAACAAUGAGGCAUGAGGAUGGGUGUUGAGGGACCACUUCUCACAUUGUCCAAUUCCAACAGGAGUGCAUCCCUCUGGCCUUCCGGUGCAUUGACAUCCUGUGCCAGUGUGAUCCGAGCACAAGAGUCCAGUUGUAGAGAUUACAGCAGAACGAGCCUGUGGAUGGACAGGUAAGUAUCUCAUCAAAUGUGAUACAAUAUUGUGUAGAACAGUGAAUUUGAAGAUAUAUCUGUGCAGUAUGUUUGUCAUUAG